rnacentral:lncRNA from 1 species
UUUAGUUUUUGCCUCCGAUGAGGGCCUUCCUGAUUCCCGUUCGAUGUGAUUUUUUCAUCAUUGUGAUCAUCAUUUCCUCCUCUAUAGGUUGACCGGAGCAAAACACCCAACUGCAACGUGAGCCGAAGGAUCAUCCGCACCGGAAUGCCACACCGUAGGUGAGUUUCAGUUUUUUACAUUUUUUUGGCCCACCGAGGGCCCUAAGUGUGUUUUCUCACAAGAACCGAUGCAAGUUUGGCUGAAUUCAGCCAAAAAAACCAAAAAUAGCCAACCUGAGGCUGAUCGCCGCUGCGGGCGAUAGCGCCGUCGCCGGAGCACGGCGAAGCCACCAUGCCGGAUUUCAAAAAUUGGUCGAGUAGACCCUGGGACUGAUUUUAGGUUAUUUGGGACAUUUAUAAGUACCGUAAGUAUGUUUUAGUUCCCGAAAAAAAAUUUAGGGAACCUAAGGACUGCCCAUAGGCGCAAUAACCAUUUAGCUUU